AUGUUUGAAGAAAUAGCUAGUAGAACGGAGGCAAUUUAGCUGGAGCAUUUAAGACAUCAGGAGUAUUUACUGUGGUAGUCAAACACGAACAGAAAGUGGCAGAAAUGGAGAGGGAGGACAAACCCAGCCUGCUGCUCUCCUUCCACACUGAGGUCAAACAAGAGUCACUAGAUGCUGAUUGUGACAGUGGAGCUCAGUGUUCAUUGGUGGAUUCAGAGAUGAUGUCAGUGAAGCUGGAAGACAAAAGUCAACCACUGGGACUGAAUGAUAUUAAAUAUGAAGAGGAGGAGAAGAUUGGGGAUUUCAUUAAUCAAGAGACGACAUCAGUGAAGCAGGAAGACUUCAGUCAAACUCUGGGACUGAAUGUCAUCAUUAAAGAUGAGGAGGAGGAGGAGGAGAUUGGGGAUUCAACUAAUCAUGUUUCUUGUGGGGAUAUGCCUUGCAAAAUGCAGCCAAAUGCAGCCAAAAUACUCCUUGCAAAAGAACUAGAAAAGAAAAAGUGGACAAUUCUGGACAAUUAUAAGGAUAUAAGUUCUCCUGAUAAUGUGCUGUUUUACGGAACAAAUUAUCUCCUCCUUACCAGCACACCUGACUCCACCCGUCUUCCAGUCACACCUGACUCCACCCGUCUUCCAGUCACACCUGACUCCACCCGUCUUCCAGUCACACCUGACUCCACAUUUGCUCCAGUCACACCAGACUCCACCCUUCCUCCAGUCACACCAGACUCCACCUUUGCUCCAGACCCAGAAUACCUUAACCUUGCUCCACUUACUGCACCAGAACCUGCCCUUGCUCAAGUCACAGUACCAGAGCUUGCUCCUCCCCCAGAGCCCACUCAUAAACCACCAAUAAGAGAACCGUGUGGCCCCAAAUGCAGAAGAAAAUGCUCUGAGAAAUUUUCAGUGGACAGACGGAGAGAAAUAUGGGACAAGUACUGGGACCGGCCAUACACUGAGAAACGUUCCUUCAUGUUUUACAGUGUGAGCCAGGUACCAACCGCAAAAGUCUGUGGUGACGGAAAAUCAAGUCGGCGGGGCAGGUCUUUUAUCUACAGGUUGAAAGAUGAAUUCCAGGUCCCACAGCAGGUGUGCAAGCAUUUCUUCCUUGCAACCUUAGGGUACCACCCGACCAACGACAGCCUGGUCCUCUCAGUGAUGGGCAAAGACAUCACAACUCCUUCUGUUCCCCCUAAAGAUCAGAGAGGGAGACAUGCACCGGCCAACAAGCUGGACCCGAAGCCAUUGCAUCAUCACAUUGAGUCCUUCCACCCGACCAUCAGCCACAACCAGAGCGAGCAUGCCCCGUGCCGCCGCUACCUCCCCAGCGACAUUAGCAUCAAACUCAUGUAUAAUGACUAUGUGGAAAAAGGCAACAACUGUUCCUACGAGUCGUAUCGAAAGGCAGUUAAGUCUAAGAACAUUAGCUUUACUAAGUGUGACGGUUCAACUCCCCAGCACUGACACUUGUAGAAGGGGACUAGAAUAAACAGACAGGAGACCAGGAAGUUGCGGUUCUUUUUGGAGUAUAUUUCAUUAAACGGUGGAACAUACAAGGCUUUAGGCCAGUAGUCGUCAAACAGCAGGCUCUUAAAUUAAUGCAAGUAAAAAACAACUAAAACUGACGAACAGAGUCCGGGUACUUGCUUUACUUAAAUAAAUAGAGGGAGGUAUGUCCUUAGUGACGGCAGGUGUUUGAGCGUGGGGUGCACUGCAUACCAAGCCCCAGUGUAGGGCGCUGUUGAGUGGGUUUCCCCCAGGCCUCCCACAGGAUUCCCACAUAAGCUUGAAGAGGAGGAGUGCGAGUGCUGUCUACUGCAGGAACCGCACGUGAAAGGUGACCACCAGGGGGAGGCUGCAACGAACUGCCCGCAGUGUAAAAGGUGGCAAGAACACAAGAAAUCAGCAGCAUAGAGCUACGCUACAGGUCGGAUGCGGCAGCAUAGAGCGGGCUACGCUACAGGUCGGAUGCGGCAGCAUAGAGCGGGCUACGCUACAGGUCAGAUGCUGAAAUGGAUUGGCCUGAAGACGCAUCCACCAGAAGUGUGGACCUGCAGAAGGUGGUCGUGCUCCCACAGAUGCCUGGCGUCGAGUCAGCCAUGUUCACAAGACGGAUCGUUUCAUGGAACCGUUGCAUCAGUCAGGGAAAAAAGGCCAACAAAAAGAAGACCGUCUCUGUUGUAUGGCACGAAGGGAUUGCAGUGCGGUUGUGCAAGGGAGAUAACAUGGAAUUAUGCAGCGGGAUUGGAGAAGGAGUGGGUCAUCAAGCACACUGGGUAGACCGCUGUAGCUCUCAGAACAAAGAUUGUCUUCUUCUUGGCUUGUGUCCUUCGUCAACUCCAGCACCGUCUCGACUGAAAACAUCCUUAAGUUCUUCGAGCUAGGGCACACAUUUAUGAGUGCAGACAGUUUUCAUCGUGGGGCAGGUGAUGAAGAGCAGACCCGGAGGGGUGGUCUACGAUUUCAAAGACUUCCUCUCUGUGGUGGGAAACUCAAAUGCAAGGAAAGUUGAGGGGUUGGAGGUGAGAAAUGAAGGGACUAGACGGAUGGCCACUCUUCAGUCAAAAGAAGAAGGUACCCAAACUGGCAGACCUUAAAGUUGUUCAGUUGCAAUGUGGUUCGAGGAGCAUAUUUGUGAAGAUGUCCCAUGAGGAGGAGGACUUUUUAGAGCUGGAUCUCCUGCUGAAUAAGUUUCAGUUAAAGAUAUCCACCACCCUGAGGCCAAGGUGCGUUGAGGAGGCCAAGAAGAGGGAUAUCCUCAAGAAACUGGGUCCUCUCAUGCCACCCACCAGGAGGCUAUUCUGGAGCUCCUUGCCUGUGAGCAACACUGAUGGAGAGUAAUAAGAGGCCAAAAAAAAAGGAUGAUGAUAAUUAAUAUAUGAUGGAUAAGAUUGGCAUCACUAAUAUGAGGGCUAUCAUAUACAGUAGGAGAGAAUAUGGAUUGUUAUCUUAAGGCAUUUGCAUUCAUUUGUUUGUAUUUCAUUUAAUUUGUGAGAGAGAACAAUGGAGAACAUGAAUUGUCAUUUUGUAUACCAUCUGCAUUUUGCAUUAAAUAAUACACAUUUUACAUUCCAUCUAAGUGAAUUUAUUUAUACAGUGUGACUUUUAUUCACUAUUAGAAAACAUGCACCCGACAUUAACAACAUCUUUUAUCCCAUGUACAGCGUUAUUUAACCCAGGGCAUUGUAACCUAUUAUAGGCAGGGC
ensembl:lncRNA